rnacentral:rRNA from 1 species
GAUGAACGCUGGCGGCGUGCCUAAUACAUGCAAGUCGAGCGAACAGACGAGGAGCUUGCUCCUCUGACGUUAGCGGCGGACGGGUGAGUAACACGUGGAUAACCUACCUAUAAGACUGGGAUAACUUCGGGAAACCGGAGCUAAUACCGGAUAAUAUAUUGAACCGCAUGGUUCAAUAGUGAAAGACGGUUUUGCUGUCACUUAUAGAUGGAUCCGCGCCGCAUUAUCUAGUUGGUAAGGUAACGGCUUACCAAGGCGACGAUGCGUAGCCGACCUGAGAGGGUGAUCGGCCACACUGGAACUGAGACACGGUCCAGACUCCUACGGGAGGCAGCAGUAGGGAAUCUUCCGCAAUGGGCGAAAGCCUGACGGAGCAACGCCGCGUGAGUGAUGAAGGUCUUCGGAUCGUAAAACUCUGUUAUUAGGGAAGAACAAAUGUGUAAGUAACUAUGCACGUCUUGACGGUACCUAAUCAGAAAGCCACGGCUAACUACGUG